AUAGCCCAGAGAAAUUUGGAUUAAUACCUCAUAGUAUAUAGCUUCGCAUGUUGACUAUNUUAAAGUUCCAACGGUAAAAGAUGGGCAUGCGUCCUAUUAGCUAGAUGGUAAGGUAACGGCUUACCAUGGCAACGAUAGGUAGGGGUCCUGAGAGGGAGAUCCCCCACACUGGUACUGAGACACGGACCAGACUCCUACGGGAGGCAGCAGUGAGGAAUAUUGGACAAUGGGCGCAAGCCUGAUCCAGCCAUGCCGCGUGCAGGAAGAAGCAUCUAUGGUGUGUAAACUGCUUUUGUACAGGAAGAAACACCCCGACGUGUCGGGACUUGACGGUACUGUAAGAAUAAGGAUCGGCUAACUCCGUG
rnacentral:rRNA from 1 species